rnacentral:rRNA from 1 species
CUCCGGCUCCCGCUAUUGGAUGAGCCUAUGUCGGAUUAGCUAGUUGGUGAGGUAAUGGCUCACCAAGGCAACGAUCCGUAGCUGGUCUGAGAGGAUGAUCAGCCACAUCGGGACUGAGACACGGCCCGAACUCCUACGGGAGGCAGCAGUGGGGAAUAUUGGACAAUGGGCGAAAGCCUGAUCCAGCCAUGCCGCGUGUGUGAAGAAGGCCCUCGGGUUGUAAAGCACUUUCAGCGAGGAAGAACGCCUAGUGGUUAAUACCCAUUAGGAAAGACAUCACUCGCAGAAGAAGCACCGGCUAACUCCGUGCCAGCAGCCGCGGUAAUACGGAGGGUGCAAGCGUUAAUCGGAAUUACUGGGCGUAAAGCGCGCGUAGGUGGCUUGAUAAGCCGGUUGUGAAAGCCCCGGGCUCAACCUGGGAACGGCAUCCGGAACUGUCAAGCUAGAGUGCAGGAGAGGAAGGUAGAAUUCCCGGUGUAGCGGUGAAAUGCGUAGAGAUCGGGAGGAAUACCAGUGGCGAAGGCGGCCUUCUGGACUGACACUGACACUGAGGUGCGAAAGCGUGGGUAGCAAACAGGAUUAGAUACCCUGGUAGUCCACGCCGUAAACGAUGUCGACCAGCCGUUGGGUGCCUAGCGCACUUUGUGGCGAAGUUAACGCGAUAAGUCGACCGCCUGGGGAGUACGGCCGCNAAGGUUAAAACUCAAAUGAAUUGACGGGGGCCCGCACAAGCGGUGGAGCAUGUGGUUUAAUUCGAUGCAACGCGAAGAACCUUACCUACUCUUGACAUCCUGCGAACUUGUGAGAGAUCACUUGGUGCCUUCGGGAACGCAGAGACAGGUGCUGCAUGGCUGUCGUCAGCUCGUGUUGUGAAAUGUUGGGUUAAGUCCCGUAACGAGCGCAACCCUUGUCCUUAUUUGCCAGCGGGUAAUGCCGGGAACUCUAAGGAGACUGCCGGUGACAAACCGGAGGAAGGUGGGGACGACGUCAAGUCAUCAUGGCCCUUACGAGUAGGGCUACACACGUGCUACAAUGGCCGGUACAAAGGGUUGCGAGCUCGCGAGAGUCAGCUAAUCCCGAAAAGCCGGUCUCAGUCCGGAUCGGAGUCUGCAACUCGACUCCGUGAAGUCGGAAUCGCUAGUAAUCGUGAAUCAGAAUGUCACGGUGAAUACGUUCCCGGGCCUUGUACACACCGCCCGUCACACCAUG